GCCAAGGUACGAAGGGCAUACGGUGGAUGCCUUGGCGCCAGGAGCCGAUGAAGGACGUUGCAGGCUGCGAUAAGCCUCGGGGAGCCGCCAAGCAGGCUUUGAUCCGGGGGUGUCCGAAUGGGGAAACCCGGCUGGCGUAAUGGCCAGUCACUCCUCGCUGAACACAUAGGCGAGGUUGAGGGAACCGGGGGAAGUGAAACAUCUCAGUACCCCGAGGAAGAGAAAGCAACCGCGAUUCCCUUAGUAGCGGUGAGCGAAACGGGAACAGCCCAAACCUGCGUGACGUGAUAGCCCAGCGGCGUUGUCACGUGGGUGUUGUGGGACCAUUCAGGGAGCGCGCUGGUGCUCCCAGGGAGUCACAAAGUCAGCGCCUAGCCGAACGGCAUGGAAAGGCCGGCCAUAGGAGGUAACAGCCCCGUAGGCGAAAGGUAACUGACCUCCCGAGUGGGAUCCCAAGUAGCGCCGAGCACGUGGAAUUCGGCGUGAAUCUGGGGGGACCACCCCCUAAGGCUAAAAACUACCUGGCGACCGAUAGUGAACCAGUACCGUGAGGGAAAGGUGAAAAGCACCCCGGGAGGGGAGUGAAAUAGCACCUGAAACCGUGUGCCUACAAACCGUCGGAGCAAACCGUGCUGGGCAACCAGUGCGGUAAGUGACGGCGUGCCUUUUGAAGAAUGAGCCGGCGAGUUGCGCUACGUGGCGAGGUUAAGGGGUUGUCCCGGAGCCGUAGGGAAACCGAGUCUGAAUAGGGCGUCUAGUCGCGUGGUGCAGACCCGAAGCUGAGUGAUCUAUCCAUGGCCAGGUUGAAGCGCGGGUAAGACCGCGUGGAGGACCGAACCGACUCAUGUUGAAAAAUGGGCGGAUGAGCUGUGGAUAGGGGUGAAAGGCCAAUCAAACUCAGUGAUAGCUGGUUCUCCCCGAAAUGCAUUUAGGUGCAGCGUCGUGUGUUCCGUGUCGGGGGUAGAGCACUGUUUGGGCUAGGGGGCCUACAAGCUUACUGAACUCAGGCAAACUCCGAAUACCGACACGCUAAGCACGGCAGUGAGACUGCGAGCGAUAAGGUCCGUAGUCGAAAGGGAAACAGCCCAGAUCGCCAGCUAAGGUCCCUAAGAACGUGCUAAGUGGGAAACGAUGUCCAACCGUGUAGACAGCCAGGAGGUUGGCUUAGAAGCAGCCACCCUUGAAAGAGUGCGUAACAGCUCACUGGUCGAAUAGUUGGGCGCGGAAAAUGUAACGGGGCUCAAGCACGUCACCGAAGCUGCGGGAUCUCUUCACAAGCCGGCCUGUGUUGGGUGCAACACAGGUCCAAGCGAAGGGAUCGGUAGGGGAGCAUCGUCACGCGGGUGAAGCGGCGGAGUAAUCCAGCCGUGGAUGCGUGACAAGAGCGAAUGCCGGCAUGAGUAGCGAAAGAGGGGGGAGGAACCCCUCCGCCGAAUGCCCAAGGGUUCCUGGGGAAGGUUCAUCCGCCCAGGGUUAGUCGGGACCUAAGGCGAGGUCGAAAGACGUAGUCGAUGGACAACAGGUUGAUAUUCCUGUACCACCGUUUCCGCGCCAAAGCCGAACCUGCGUUGCUAAGGAAAUCCCUUCGGGGACUACCGAACCACGCAGUAUUAGGCCACCGAUGGGGAGACGCAGGAAGGUAAGUGGGCCCGGGCGAUGGUCGUCCCGGGGUAAGCGCGUAGGGAGUCGCCGUAGGAAAAUCCGCGGCGGCAUCAUCCUGAGGCGUGACGCCGACAUCAAUGGAUGGAAGCCACUGAUCCUAUGCUGCCGAGAAAAUCCUCUAGGGAGUGGAAAAGGUGCCCGUACCCCAAACCAACUCAGGUGGGCAAGUAGAGAAUACUAAGGCGAUCGAGAGAACUCUGGUCAAGGAACUCGGCAAUCUAACCCCGUAACUUCGGAAGAAGGGGUGCCGAGGUUGGUGAAGGGCUUCUCGCCCCGAGCCGGCCGCGGUCGCAGUGACCAGGCCCAAGCGACUGUUUACUAAAAACACAGGUGGGUGCGAAGCCGUAAGGCGCUGUAUACCCACUGACACCUGCCCGGUGCUGGAACGUUAAGGGGAGAGGUUAGCCCGCAAGGGCGAAGCUUUGAACUGAAGCGCCAGUAAACGGCGGCCGUAACUAUAACGGUCAACCUUUAGAGGCCGUUACAAAACUCGGCUAUUUGCUGGGAAGUCCCGUGUAUCUCGCGGUACCGAAGAUGUCAUAUGUGGAUGACAGUCCGAUACGGAAACCGAUGGCUGAUCGCACCAAGCUUUCAGGCAUAUCAGCAUCGGGACAACGUCGGGAUACUCGAGGCCAUCCGCGACUUCUUCGGCCACGGGCACAUCCGUGCCAAAGGACCGAACAGCAGCGUGAUGACGUACUCGGUGUACCGACGCGAAGAGUUGGAGUCAGUGAUCAUCCCGUUCUUCGAUCGAUAUCCACUGAUCUCAAAGAAGCAGGAUGACUUCCUGAAAUUCCGCGAGAUCGUAACGUUGAUGCAACGGAAAGCUCAUCGCAUAGACGCAGGCUUCCAGACGAUUGUGGAGUUAGCGUUCGCGAUGAACCAACGAGGCAAGCAGCGAAGAUAUCGACUCGAAGAAGUAGUGCGGAACCCUCAGAGACUGCACGCCGAGCAGCUCGGCUUGAUGAGCUGAAGAUAUAGUCCGAACCCUGUGGCGACAUAGGGAGUCCGGCAGAAAUGACCGGAUCACCAUCUCGUAAGAGGUGGGGGUAACAGAUUUCCGUGCAUCGCACCGGGUAAUGCCGUGGGAAGCCCUCUGCCUCAAAGAGGCAUGGCCCCGUAACGACUGAUCCCGAAAGGGAGAGGCCUCAGUCAUGCCGCUCGGCAAAUCUACGGCUGAGGCAACACGCGGGCUCUCAUCAAGAGAUGAGAUGAAGGCAUAGUCUGUGCCACUGGUAACAGUGGGAUCACACGAAGUUCCGACCUGCACGAAUGGUGUAACGACUUGGGCGCUGUCUCGACCAGAGACUCGGCGAAAUUGCAUUGGCUGUGAAGAUGCGGCCUACCCACGGUAGGACGGAAAGACCCCGGGACCUUUACUGUAGUUUGGCGUUGGUGUUCGGUUCUGGUUGCGUAGGAUAGGUGGGAGGCUUUGAAGCGGGGGUUUCGGCCCUCGUGGAGCCAACCUUGAAAUACCACCCUUCUAGUGCUGGGCGUCUAACAAGGGUCCGUUAUCCGGAUCUUGGACAGCGCCAGGCAGGCAGUUUAACUGGGGCGGUUGCCUCCCAAAGAGUAACGGAGGUGCCCAAAGGUUCCCUCAGCACGGUUGGCAAUCGUGCGUCGAGUGUAAGAGCACAAGGGAGCUUCACUGCGAGACGGACACGUCGAGCAGAUGCGAAAGCAGGGUCUAGUGAUCCGGCGGUGGCAAGUGGAAGCGCCGUCGCUCAACGGCUAAAAGGUACCCCGGGGAUAACAGGCUGAUCAGGCCCAAGAGUCCACAUCGACGGCCUGGUUUGGCACCUCGAUGUCGGCUCGUCGCAUCCUGGGGGUGGAGCAGCUCCCAAGGGUCCGGCUGUUCGCCGGUUAAAGCGGUACGCGAGCUGGGUUUAGAACGUAGAUCACUGCGUCUCCAAGGAGCAAUCCUUGGAUGCCCAUCGGCUCAUAUCGGUGGAACCUCACUGUCACAACCGAACGUUACGGUGAGGCAAUACCGAGGGAAGGCCGACACAUUGAAGGCGGAACAAGCAAGCUAUCUCGCAGGAUUCCUCGACGGAGAUGGAAGCAUUCACUUCCAACUCGUCAGGCAGCGGGAGUACAAGUUCGGGUUCUACAUCCGAGCGAGCAUGUCUUUGUCGCAAAGCACAUCGGCACGGUCAGGGUUGGAGAACAUCCGACAGAUGAUCGGCGCUGGUUACAUCCGCGACAGAGGCACCGGCAUGAGUGAUCUUGUGAUCACCAGCCGCCCGGUACUCCAGCAGAUCCUCGCCGAGGUCGAACCGUUCGUCAUCUUCAAGCGCGAGCACGUGCGGCGUGCACGAAGGCUGCUCGAACGGAUCAGACCGCGGAUGAAAGAGGAUGAGUUUCUCGAGAUCGCGCGCAAGGUCGACGCCUUCGCAACCCUAAACUAUUCGAAAUCGAAGCGGAUCUUCGCCGCAGAUGUCGAGCAGCAUCUGCGUAGCAAGGGUGUGUCGGUCCCCGUAACGACUUCUUCGGAUCGCUUAUCCGAAGAGAUGGAGCAACUGUCGAUCAUCGACAAAUCAGCGCUCCAUAACACGCCGGCCCCUCGAAAGAGGGUGAAGGUAUAGUCUGUGCCCGCAGUGAUGCGGGAUGAACAUGCGUGAGACAGUUCGGUCCCUAUCCACCGUGGGCGCAGGAGGCUUGAGGAAGGCUGUCCCUAGUACGAGAGGACCGGGACGGACGCACCGCUCGUGUGCCAGUUGUUCUGCCAAGAGCACGGCUGGUUGGCGAUGUGCGGAAGAGAUAACCGCUGAAAGCAUCUAAGCGGGAAGCUCGUUCCAAGAUGAGGCCUCCCACGGAGUUAAUCCGGUAAGGCCCCCGCAAGGCUAGCGGGUUGAUAGGCCGGAGGUGGAAGCGUGGCAACACGUGGAGCCGACCGGUACUAAUAGGCCGAGGCCUUGGUUCGCU
rnacentral:rRNA from 1 species